ACCAGACCCCCCAGACCAGACCCUCUCCUCAGACCAGACCCCCCAGACCAGACCCUCUCCUCAGACCAGACCCUCACAGCUUGUUCCUCACAGAGAGAAAACUAACUUGAGAUCUCUUCUGCUUCUUCCUGCUCACUCACUGUCUCACUCUCUCUCUGUCUCACUCUCUCUCUGUCUCACUCUCUCGCUGUCUCACUCUCUCUCUGUCUCACUCUCUCGCUGUCUCACUCUCUCUCUGUAUCACUCUCUCUCUGUCUCUCUGUCUCUCGCUCUCUAUCUCUCCUCUCUCGGUUCCUGAAGUACUUCCCGUUCCAACAGUUUGGUGUGUGUGUGUGUGUGUGUGUGUGUGUGUGUGUGUGUGUGUGUGUGUGUGUGUGUGUGUGUGUGUGUGUGUGUGUGUGUGUGUGUGUGUGUGUGUGUUUUUUGAGAGUGGAUAAGUGUAUGAUUGCAUCAUUAUGCAUGUAACUGUAUUUGUUCAGGAGGUGGCUAAUGACACCACUACCUUAUAAGGGGGAUGUUACCAUACUCUAUCUCUCUCUGUACCUGACUCUAAGAGGUGUGUGUGUGUGUGUGUGUGUGUGUGUGUGUGUGUGUGUGUGUGUGUGUGUGUGUGUGUGUGUGUGUGUGUGUGUGUGUGUGUGUGUGUGUGUGUGUGUGUGUGUGUGUGUGUGUGUGUGUAUUGUGCGCGAGCACUGCAUUCAUAACAUUCGUCUUCACAGAUAUCACGUGCCCGCGCUGAGAGAGGCGUGUCCCGGGUUUUUUCAACUGCGAGUCAACGGUGUCGCAGCGAAGAGACUUUCUUUGACUUCCUUUCACCUGAUUAACUUGUUUUAGAAACACUCUAACCUCCGUUUCUUCCCUUACAUUUAAACUUUUACAACUUUAUACCGUAUGGACGCAAUAUAAUCCCGGAGUAGAAACGAUAAGUCUACUAUGGAUGAGGAGAGAGAGGAGGGGGGUACUACCUCUAAGACCACUCUGUCUGGGGAACAUGGCCGCCGGAGCAAAGCUAAGAGCCCAGAGCAGCAGCAGAGAGCAGACUCCCCUGGACCCAGCUGUGUCUCCAUGAUGAGUGGAUGGAACAUCCUCUAUGGAACAUCCUUUUAACUUUAAAGAUGGAAAUCAGUCUAUUGAGAAAAGAAGAGUCCAGCAGCAGAGAGCAGACUCCCCUGGACCCAGCUGUGUCUCCAUGAAGAGUGA